rnacentral:lncRNA from 1 species
CGCAGGCGGAAAAAGCGAGCACCGAGCUUCUGUCGCCAUCUCCGGGACUCCAAACGCCCCAGGUCUCUUGUGCUGUAGCUGACAGGCCUGCAGGAUGUUUCACGGGAUCCCAGCUACUCCUGGUGUUGGAGCCCCUGGGAACAAGCCGGAGCUAUACGAGGAAGUAAAGUUGUACAAGAAUGCCCGGGAGCGGGAGAAGUAUGACAACAUGGCGGAGCUCUUUGCGGUGGUGAAAACGAUGCAAGCGCUGGAGAAGGCAUACAUCAAGGACUGCGUCACCCCCAAUGAGUGAGCAAGCCUGUGGCUUCAGACAUUGAUGGCCACCAGUCCUCAGUAGCAUGUUUCUCCCUUCCACGAAGCUUGUGGGUUUACCAGGCAGCACACAGGAGCCCGAGCUAUGAGGGGUGUUCCUUGUUGCUGCCGGUUUCAGGGCGGGAUCCUUUUGCAAGGGUGGGUACGGUUCUGAAUUCGGAAGGCAAACUAGAGCCUUGGGCAGCCUAGUCUAAGGUAUCACUGUCCAGUCUAGGUACCCGGGGUGGAUGCUGAUGCUUUGUCCACAGAUGACAAGCGGGUUUGACUAGACCAGGAGCCGCCAGGUGGUAAUGGAGGUCCGACACCUGGUCUAAGGCAAAUGGAACAGACAUCCGGCUCUUGUGCAGAGUUCCAGAUCAGCCCACACAGAUCCCCUGUUGUCAUUCUAUUUCUGUUAUACCUCCCUGCU